rnacentral:rRNA from 1 species
UACGAAGGGGGCUAGCGUUGUUCGGAAUCACUGGGCGUAAAGCGCACGUAGGCGGAUCUUUAAGUCAGAGGUGAAAUCCCAAGGCUCAACCUUGGAACUGCCUUUGAUACUGGGGAUCUUGAGUCCGGGAGAGGUGAGUGGAACUGCGAGUGUAGAGGUGAAAUUCGUAGAUAUUCGCAAGAACACCAGUGGCGAAGGCG